GUUUUGCUCAGUCUGGCAGUAACCCAGAACUAUCAGAGGCAGAGGAUCUCUCUUUCGGCUGCUGCUGAAAACUGCAUUCAGGCAACAACCCAUACUGUACUGGUGGAAGGUAGCCCAGGAGCUAAGGAGUUGGACCUGUGGCAGGAGUUGUAUUUAUGGCCGAAAGGUGGCCGGUUUAAAUCCCAGGCCGGGUGCUGGAAAAACCGGGCGGAAUUGAUCUGACAAGUGGAGGGCUGCUGGGUUCACAUCCUCUAAACAUUCCCCUACCGUUGGGCUCUUGAUCAAGUCCCUUAACCCCACAACAUGCUCUCCAUCCAGGGAUGCUGCACUGCAACUUGAACCUGUGCUGGUCUCAACUGUAUGUGUGAGGUCUGCUGUUUGGGGGGGUUGAGAACGGAGCAGAAGCCACGUUUUUGUUGUUUGCUGUAACUAAUGGAUGAAGUUGUAUUGUAAAGAUGUCAGCCAGAGUUGACGUGGGCCAUUGUUCAAAUAAAGAGAUGCCUCCCUGGCCAACAAUGCACAUUUUCCAAACUGUGUUUGCAUAUAAUGAUAAUAAAUAAAUAAAAAAUGA